GUGAAAGAGAAAACAGCUGCUUUCCUCGCUUUGAAAUCGUUGCUUUUUGUACAAUAUGAAGAAGCAAGGCUAAUGUAGAAUCUAUAACUUCGAGCACAGAGCUAUUUAAUAAAUACUCUAGAUAAACAGUAGAGUUAUAUAUGGAGCGAUUCGCGCAAUGACUAAGCAGAUGCGCCGAAAAGCUCAGGAUCUCUAACAAGAUACUCAAAGUGUCAGAAUCAAAAGGUUUUGUCUGAACUUUAUCCUUUAAAGAAUAAUGUUCAACAAUACGUUCCAGAAUAGCAUCAAACCUAUUCAAAACUGGGACCCAUGAAUACAAAUCGCCACGAGGAUAUGGCCAAUCGUUUUUUCUGAAUUCUGAACAAAGAGAGACAAGACCCAAGUCUGAAGUUACUUCUUCA